AGUUCCAGGCCUCCGCGCCCGCGCCCGAGGGCGCCCUCUCCGAAACGGCCACUUGCUCUCCGUUCCUCCUCCGCUUGCCUGUGUGUCAAUCAACACACACUGCCGCUUGCUUGACAGCGCUGUGCUGAGUAGUAGGACACGAGGUAUUGGGAUUCUUCCUGUUGCUGUAAACUCUUAUUUCUGUAUAGCGCUUACACAGCGUUUGCACCUUUGUGAUCUCGUGCAACACUUACUGGGCACCUACUGUGUUCGCCGCCCUGUGCUGGAUGCUGCGUCCACAGGGACACUCCCGGCCUCAAAGGGUUGGAGUGGGCGCGCAGAUCACGAUGUGAAAACGCACAUGCACAUCUUCCGGCCCCACCGCAGAACCGGGGUCCUCCCGGCGCCGCGGGCUGAGGCCAGCCAAUGAGAGGCACGCGGAAGGGCUGCAAGUCUGAAGCGCUCAGAAGAUGAGACGAUAUGAUGGACCGACGGACUCAAGGACAGAGAGGCCGAGAGAUUCGGGGGCCUGUGAGAGUAAGAUGUUAAUACUGUCUCUGAGAAGACGAGAUCAGGACACAGACGCCAACAAAAAAGACCAUGUGAAGACGCGGGAGGAAGACGGCCACCUGCAAGCCGCGAGAGAGGACUCAGAAGAAACCAACCCUUUUAACACCCUGAUCUGGGCCUCCCAGUGCCCAGAACUGGCAGCGAAAGGCCACGUCCUCCCAGCUCCAUUUGUGACUGGACGAGCGGACCGCACCGUGUGAGUCAGCCUGUUGUGGAAGCGUCUGAGAGUCAUUGCUCUGACUGUGCUGACGAAGCACAGAGAAGAAGGAAGGCCUGACCCCUGCCAGCCCGGAUGUUCCCUGAGGGCCUCUUGCUCUUCUCCACACUGUGGCCAGAGGCCUCUGUCACAGGCAUUAAUCUGGGCUUGUCUGUGUCCUGCCUAACAGCUUCAGGAGGAAGUCACCCUGUGCCCCAGCGCCGAGGCCUGCCCUCUGGAACUUGUCUCUUUGAGGUCCUCACCACGCCUCCAGCCCUGGGCUGGGCCAGGACACCCGGCUCUGUAUUCUCACAGCUCUUGCUCCCCUGACCUUAACACUCAUCCCAGCUGGAGGUUGGAGGUCGUGACUCCUCCUUUGCUGUCUUUCCCAGUGGAGUGUAGGCCCCUCCACAGCGGGGGCCAAGCUGUAGGCUGUGCAGAGCCCACGGCGGGCCCACCGGCAUUUGAUGAUGACAGGAAGCGCUCCUCACAUUCCACUGUAACUGCACGUCUUUCUUUGAGGGCAGACCUGCAGUUGGUUCAUUUCUAUAUCCUCAGCUUUUACUCUGAUCAAAGACCUGGCUCCACAUUCCAAAGGUGUGUGGGCUCUGAUUUCAGUGACCAGGUAGGCCUUUCCGUGACCUGGCCGGGAACGGGCUCCAAGGUCCAUCGCCCACGCUCCACAUGCGGUGUGGGGAGCACAGCAAGGUCUCCUACCCUGAGGGAAGGAAAGGGUUACAGCACUCACCUCUCAGGGCCCUCCCACUCCACCCCCUGCGACAGGUGAGACAGAUGAGGGUAGUGGGUGUGGUCCCAGCAGCCCUGGGGCCCCAAGGAGCCGGGCCUCUCCUUCCAGGUUUAGAUCUGGAACAGGGCCAUGGUUUUGUCCACAGUUCCAACAGGUGUAAUGGCAAUGUCAGGGGGUCACAGUGAGUGUCCUGGCUCCCCCGGCUGUGUUGAGACACAGAGCCAUGAGGCCCCCUUCUUCACAGGUCUCAUGGGUGUCGUGGUUCCUCCCUGAGGCAGCCAGGGGCUGGGCUGCUUGAACAUCAAUCCUUUCAAAUCAUAUCAUUAAAAUCUACUCCCACACCUGUAUUUCAAAGAUAACAUUUGUGCCUGAAAUUGCCACAACUACAUUAUGGCAAAGUCACAUCAUCUGGCUCAUAAUUUAAGGCUUAGAGGCUUCAACUAAUGUAGGUGACAGUCUGGUGGCCAAAAGGAGAAAGUCUGAUUACCAAGUGGCAUUUGCUGGGAGGUCUGGGUCCCCUCCAGCACCUCACGCACAUGUGCAUAAGAGGCACUCAGUGAGUGUUUGUGGAAUCUAUGAAUGAUAUGACGUUUCUAUCCUGAGUCUCAGGGUCUUUUUCUAUUCAGAAAUCUGUCCCCAGACCAGCCGGGUGGCUCAAUGGUUAAGUUCAGGGGCUCCACUUCAGCAGCCCGGGGUUCACAGGUUUGGCUCCUGGGCAUAGACCUAGCACCACUCGUUAAGCCACGCUGUGGAGGCAUCCCACAUAAAAUAGAGGAAGAUUGGUGCAGAUGUCAGCUCAGCAACAAUCUCCCUCACAAAAAAAAAAGAAAAGAAAUCUAUCCCCAAUUAUCACACACACUCACCACAGAGCAGGUCUUUGCUCACUGAAGGGAAGCAGGGCGUUGGCCCCAGUGAGCUGAUUCAGCCUUACAAUCUUUAAGUCACCAGAGCCAAAGAGGGGUGCAGGUGGGAAUCUUCUAGAACAUUGCUUUUCUCUGCAGAAAGAGGCAAUUAGCUAGUGUGUGGGGGGGUGGGGGGAGAUGUAGAAGGAAUACAGCCCAUUAGGUCUACAGAAGUGGCUGAAGCUGGUAUUUCUGCUUUCCCUUGGGAUAGGGGCUGCUGGAAGGUGCCCCUCCCACCCAACAGUGGGAUAGCCGCUGGGGUCAAAGUGGUGAACUUUGGAGACAGAAUUGGUUCCUCCCUAAUUAAGAGAUGUUAAGUAGGUAAACAAACACUGCGUAAGUGCUACAAAGGAGAUGCUACGUCCUUCUUAUCAUAUCAUCACAUCACUCCUUCUUCCCUCCCCAGAGUUAAGCUGUGGUGGGUCCCAGGAUCUAAUCUACACUGUUGCCACAGCACCCAAGAAAAUGUUAAAAAUUACCAUCUCUAGUGCUGUGACUAUGGAAGAUGCUUGAUUUUUUUCCUAUCAUAUGAAUGCGUUUUAUUUUAUUUGUUUUUGCCAAAUUUUUAUAAUGAACAUGUCAUAUUCACAAAACAAAGGGCUAAAGCCAAUAGAGUUAUUUUCAGAAGAAAGGAGACUGAGUGGAUUCCUGUAGAGGAGAAAAUUUUCCCAGCCCAGCUUGGAGGGAGGGGCCUUCUGAUGAUCCCGUCCAGCCUGAUGGCCACCGUGGGCGGGUUCUGACCACUGGGUGACCUGCACCCAGGGUUAUGUGAAAUUCAUGAGAACCAUUUCUAAGUGGUUAAAGAAAGAUGAGCUACUUAUAAAUUCCUUCCUUUAACAGCUGAUAUCUUCAACCUUCCUUCCCCACUCACUCUCAGCUAUGUAGGGGAGGGGCGGGGGAGGUGGUAGAAAUGGGGGAACCCCAGUCCUCUUGCUCCCACUCCUGCUCCCACACAAAGCUGGGCUGGCACAGGCAGCUUAUUCCAGUGCAGUGGACUUCCCUGAAAACGAGCCAGAACUUCGUGAGUUCCCAUGGCGGUCCUGGCCUGGGCCAGGGGCUGUGCUGUAAUGAAAGAGCAGACGUUAUCAUCUUCAUUCUAGAGAAAGGACAAUUUCAUCAGAAAGACAAAGCACAAGCAAAAUAAACAUCUGAAGAACACUGGCCCAAAUAAUGUAAUUAGAUAGGAUUUCAGGGAUUGAAUUCUUUUUGUAUUACAAAAUACAUCUUAUUUUGGUUUCACAAAUAAUGCUUAUAUGAAAAAACUUUUCUCCAUACGUUCACCCAGGGCGGCUUCAUGGAUGUGCAACCUAUGCGGUCACACGUGCUCAGAAGGGUCCCACACUUGGUGUAAUGCUCUGCCGUCACCAUCUUGAAAUUCUCAACGAUUUGAUCGUUGAACUUGGGUUUUGUAAGUGAACUCCAUCGGUGGAGGGAGCAGAAGAGAUGCACGCACUAUGCCAGUCCACAGUUCCUUGCUGACCACUCACAUAUGGUGUUCACCGUGCCCUGUGAGCGCUGAACUGGGGGGACCCACGCCGCGUGGGAGGUCAGCAAGACACAGUGAAGACAAAGUAAGUGUCUUACAUCUCUGACUAGGUGGGGCUGAUAACAGACCCAAGAUGUCACACUUUCUGUUGGGACCAGAAUUUGCUUCAAAUGCAGAAAAAGGCAAUGGCGUUCAAAGGACAUAAACGACCAAGGACUUCUGCCACAUGCUUUCUUACUCGUGUGACUUCCCUGUAUUAGCCAACCACUUCAUGCUGAAAACGACGACAUAGAAGGAAAGAGAAAGAAGAUAGUGCCUUCUCUUUUCUGUCCUUCCUUACUCAUCAGUGAGCCAAAGGUAGAGAAUAGGGUAGAAUGUGCGCACGUUAGGAAGUGAAAUAAACACAGUGGAGUAUUUCCACUUUCUAGUAAGAACGAAAUACAGAUGCGUGUACAAACAAAACACAGACUGUGUAAUUUCACCCAUUCUACAUACAAGUUAAAAGCUCUCAUAUUUGCAUUUAAAAUGACAUUGCACAAUAUAAAAAUGAAAGAUAAAAUUCAUGCUAAUAAUUCUAAUGUUUAAUUUUUCUUUACUUAACAACAUUAAAGAGCAAAUUAAAAAACACUAUGAGAAGCUGAGAGAAAGACUACAGGAGAAGGGAAAAAGCUUUCUAUUUCAACACCAUCUAUGGCACUUUCUUCCUUUUGUUUUGAACAAGGGCCCCACGUUUUCAUUUUGCACUGGGCCCUGCAAAUUGUGGAGUCGGCCCUGCUGUCACCAGGAAUGGAUAUUAUCUUUUUAUUAUUAUUAUUUUUUUUUAAUUCUUUUUUUAUUUUUUUGAGGAAGAUUAGCCCUGAGCUAACAUCUGCUGCCAAUCCUCCUCUUUUUGCUGAGGAAGGCUGGCCCUGAGCUAACAUCUGUGCCCAUCUUCCUCUACUUUAUAUGUGGGACGCCUGCCACAGGAUGGCUUGACAACAGGUGCGUAGGUCUGCACCCAGGAUCCAAACCAGCGAACCCCGGGCCACCAAAGCGGAAAGUACGAACUUAACCACUGCACGACUGUGCCAGCCCUAUUGAUCUUUAAAGUCUGUGCUCUAACAAAGGUACAGAGCUACUGGAAGUCUCAUGCAUUGCUGGUGAGCAUGAAAAGGGUACAGGACUUCAGGAAGCAGUUUGGCAGUUCCUUAUAAAGUGAUCUACACACCUACUGCAGACCCAGCAGCCUCUCCCCUGGGUAUUUAUCUAAG
rnacentral:lncRNA from 1 species